AGAGUCCUGCCAAGGGCUACGAGGCAGAAAACUGAUAUUAUUAAAGUGGUCUUCUGAACGCAACUCUCUGCAAGGUCCUAAGGGUUCUAAGUUGAAUAAGGCCCACUCCCUCCCUUCCAGGACUUUAGCUGAGGUUGGUUGGGGCAGAAGUCGGGCAAGACUCAUCGGAACGGAUUAACAGAGACAGAAUCCAGAGGCAACGGGGUGAAUUCCAAGUAUAGAAAAGACACACUUGGUCUGAGGGUAUGUUUCAGCUCAGGCAUGCUGCCAUCAGGACCACGUAAAGCUGGAUUUUUCUACGCUAGUCCAUUUGCACGAUCUGGACUCAGAAGAGAUUUAAGUUUCAAAUCUGGCUUUGUCAGUUAAUGCUUGUGGGAUCUCAACCACGUCACUGACUUCUCUGAGCAUGCUUCCAUAUUUCUACAAAGGAAACAAUAGGUGACUCUGCUGAGUUGAGCACUUGCGAGUACCAAGCAGUGAGGACCUGAGGCACAGAUGCUAACCAGCUUGCUGGAGAUCACACACUCAUGAGUGGCAGAGUGGGGCUUGGAACCGGGUAGCCUGGCUCUGGAGCCCUCACUCCAUCCACACACCAUGCUGGGACCCAGUCGAGUGACCAGCAGACCGGUUGUGUGGGUUAGGUGGAAUGGUGGAUAUAAACCACACAGCCCAGCUCCUGACCCAUGCUGGGCCCUCAUUCCUCCUGAAUUCCUUCUCAUUCCUGCCGCCUUCUGAAGAAGGUGCCUUGCUUCCCCUUCACCUUCUGCCGUGAUUGUAACUUUCCUGAGGCCUCCCCAGCCAUGC
rnacentral:lncRNA from 1 species